rnacentral:rRNA from 1 species
GGUUACAGCCUUGUCUGAAUUAUUCACCCUUGUCUUUUGCGUACUUCUUGUUUCCUUGGUGGGUUCGCCCACCACUAGGACAAACAUAAACCUUUUGUAAUUGCAAUCAGCGUCAGUAACAAAUUAAUAAUUACAACUUUCAACAACGGAUCUCUUGGUUCUGGCAUCGAUGAAGAACGCAGCGAAAUGCGAUAAGUAGUGUGAAUUGCAGAAUUCAGUGAAUCAUCGAAUCUUUGAACGCACAUUGCGCCCUUUGGUAUUCCAAAGGGCAUGCCUGUUCGAGCGUCAUUUGUACCCUCAAGCUUUGCUUGGUGUUGGGCGUCUUGUCUCUAGCUUUGCUGGAGACUCGCCUUAAAGUAAUUGGCAGCCGGCCUACUGGUUUCGGAGCGCAGCACAAGUCGCACUCUCUAUCAGCAAAGGUCUAGCAUCCAUUAAGCCUUUUUUUCAACUUUUGACCUCGGAUCAGGUAGGGAUACCCGCUGAACUUAAGCAUA